rnacentral:rRNA from 1 species
AUGGAGGCGCUGGUGGCCACCGCGGUCGGGCCACUGGUUUCCUUGCUGAUGAAAAAGGCGUCCAACUCCCUCCUUGAGAAGUACAAGGUGAUGGAGGGAAUGGAGGAGCAGCACAGGAUUCUCAAACGCAAACUUCCGGCCAUCCUCGACGUCAUCAGCGACGCCGAGGAGCAGGCGACGGCCCACAAGGAAGGGGCAAAAGCCUGGCUCCAGGAGCUCAAGACAGUGGCUUAUCAGGCAAGUGAAGUCUUUGAUGAAUUCAAGUACGAAGCACUCCGCCGUGAAGCCAAGAAGAAUGGGCACCUCACCAAACUUGGCUUUGAUGUGAUAAAACUCCUCCCUACUCACAACCGCAUUGUAUUCCGUAUCAGAAUGGGUCCCAAGCUUCGUCAUAUUCUGCAGUCCAUUGAGGCCCUCAUAACAGAGAUGCAGCGCCUUCGGUUCAACUAUCAACCACAGCCGCCGGUGUCCAAGUUGUGCAGGCAGACAGAUUAUGUUAUCAUCGACCCACAAGAAAUUGCCAGUAGAUCCAGAGACAAAGAUAAGAAGAAGAUUGUUGAUACACUACUUGGUCAAGCUGGAAAUGCAGAUCUCGCAGUUGUUCCCAUCAUUGGAAUGGGGGGCCUUGGCAAGACCACAUUAGCGCAGCUCAUAUACAAUGACACUAAAAUUAAGGAGCAUUUCCAGUUGCGGCUCUGGGUCUGUGUCUCUGGUACCUAUGAUGUGAACUCCCUGGCUAAGAGUAUAGUUGAAGCAUCUCACCAAAAGAACGAUAAUAUAGAUAUACCCCCACUGGAUAGACUUCAAAAAUUCAUCAAGGGGCAGAGAUAUCUCCUUGUAUUAGAUGAUGUCUGGGACAGAGAGGUCCAUAAGUGGGAAAGUUUGAAGGGUUGUUUGCAGUAUGGUGGCAUGGGUAGUGCAGUAUUGACAACAACUCGUGAUAAACAAGUUGCUGAAAUUGUGGAUGCAGAUAGAUCCUACAAUCUCAGUCCUUUGGAGGACAGAUUCUUAAAGGAAAUUAUUGAGGCUAGAGCAUUCAAUUCGAAGAAAGAAAAGGCUCCUGAGCUAGUCGAGAUGGUUGAUCAGAUUGUGAACAGAUGUCGUGGCUCUCCUUUAGCCGCAUGUUUGCUGGGCUCUGUACUCCGUACCAAGACCACGGUGAAAGAAUGGAAGGCCAUAGCAUCUAGAAGCAGCAUUUGCACUGAGGAAACUAGAAUCUUGCCAAUACUCAAGCUUAGCUACAACGACCUGCCAUCACACAUGAAGCAGUGCUUUGCUUUUUGUGCUAUAUUUCCCAAGAAUUACAAGAUUGAUGUGGAGAAGCUGAUUCGAUUAUGGAUCGCAAAUGGCUUUAUCCCAGAACAGGAAGAAGAUAGUCUUGAAACAAUUGGAGAACAUAUUUUCAAUGAGCUUGCCUCGAGGUCAUUUUUUAUGGACAUAGAGAAAAGUAAAGAUGUCUCAUGGUAUUAUUCCAUGACUACAUGCAAAAUCCAUGAUCUCAUGCAUGAUAUUGCAAUGUCUGUUAUGGGAAAGGAAUGUGUUGUUGUUGCAACUAAGGAACAAUGUCAAACCAAGUGGCUUCCAGAUACUGCUCGGCAUUUAUUUUUGCUAGGUGAAGAAACAAAUGGUAUUUUAAAUGAUUCUAUGGAGAAAAGAUUCCCUGCUAUCCAAACACUUCUAUCCGAUAGUUUUGUGCAAAUCUCAAAAUACAACUCUUUGCAUGCCUUGAAGCUCUGUAUAGAUGUCAAAUUACUUCUUGUGAAACCAUUAGGGACAACAUCAUAUCUACUGAAAUCAAAGUAUCUGCAUCAUCUAAGGUACCUCGAUCUCUCAGAAAGUUGUAUCGACACACUUCCUGAAGGUAUAAGUAUUCUAUAUAACCUGCAAGUGCUGGACCUUUCCUACUGUUAUUAUCUUGACCGACUUCCGAGGCAAAUGAAGUAUAUGACUUCCCUCCGUCACCUAUACACUCAUGGAUGUGAGAACUUGAAGAGCAUGCCUCCAGGACUUGGAAAACUCACUAGGCUGCAGACUCUUACAUGUUUUGUGGCAGCAGUUACGAGCCCUGAUUGUAGUGAUAUUGCAGAGCUGCAUGAUUUAAAUCUUGGUGGUCAUCUAGAGCUACGCCACUUAGAGACUGUUGAAAAUGCAGAAGCAGAAGUAGCAAGCCUCGGAAACAAGAAGGAUCUUAGAGAACUAACAUUAAGAUGGGCUUCUGUUUGUGACAGAAAGGUGCUCGACAAUUUCAAACCUCAUGAUGGGCUGCAGGUUCUGAGGACGUAUUCCUAUGGAGGAGAGUGCAUGGGCAUGUUGCAAAACAUGGUUGAGAUCCAUCUUUUUCAUUGUGAAAGAUUGCAGUUUUUGUUCAGAUGCGGUACAUCCUUCACUUUUCCAAAGCUGAAGGUGCUUAUGCUAGAACAUAUGUUGGAUCUUGAGAGAUGGUGGGAAAUAAAUGGGAUGCAAGAGGAACAAAUAAUAUUUCCUCUGCUUGAGAAGUUGUCUAUUGGGCAUUGUGGAAAGUUGAUAGCAUUACCUGAGGCACCAUUUCUUCAAACACCGUUUCUUCAAGAAGCAUGUAGUGCAGACACUAGACUGGCGCGUUCACCAUUUCCUGCCCUGAAGGUACUUGAAUUGAAAGAGUUAGCGAGCUUUCAGAGAUGGGGUGCAGUUGAAGAGACUCGAGAACAGAUAUUGUUUCCUCAGCUUGAGAAAUUAUCAAUUCAAAGAUGUCCAGAGCUGAUAGAUUUACCUGAAGCACCAAAACUCAUUAUAUUAGAGAUUGAAUAUGUCAAGCAAGAGAUCUUCCAUUGGGUAGACAGAUAUCUGUGUUCAUUGACCCAGCUGACACUGAGGCUGUACACAGGAAGAACAUCAGAGGUGGACAAGGAGAAAUGGAAUAAGAUAUCCCCUAUCACAUUUAUGAACUUAGCAUUAGACUGUUGGAGCCCAUUCUUUGGAUCAGGUGCACUAGAGUCUUGGGACAAUUUUGUACAUCUUCAAACUUUGGAAAUUAUUGGAUGUGAUGUGCUUGUCCACUGGCCAGAGAAAGUGUUGCAAAGCUUGCUAUCCUUGAGGAAAUUGAAGAUUGUAACCUGCAGAAAUCUUACUGGAUAUACAGAAGCUCCUCUUGAGUCAUCAAAAUCUGAAAGGAGUCAACAACUGCCAAGUCUGGAGUCUCUUGAGUUGAAAUUUUGUGCAAAUUUGGUAGAGAUGUUUGAUGUCCCGGCAUCUCUCAAGAGAAUGAAUAUUUCUGAGUGCAGUAAGCUUGAGUACAUAUUUGGCAAGCAGCAGGGCAUGUCAGAGUUAUUCCAAGGGUCUUCUUGCGAUGAGGCAAUCAUGCCUGCAGCUGUAUCAGAGUCCAUGAAUCAUUUUUGCCCAUGCCUAGAAGAUCUAGAGUUACUUGAUUGUGAUAGUUUACCAGCGGUUCUACAUCUCCCUCCAUCCUUAGAGACAAUCUUUAUUGCUAGGUGCAGUAGUAUUCAAGUGCUGACAUGUCAGCUAGAUGGGCUCCAGAAACCACAAGUCACUGCAUCCACGAAUGUACCAGAGCUGCCGGCAGUAGCAGCAAGAGAGCAUUCGUUUCCUCCUCGUCUCGAUUCUUUAAAGAUAUACUCCUGUGAUAGCAUGCUAGGGGGGAUUCUCCGUCUGCCCAUGUCCCUCAAGCAUCUGGACCUUUUUAGGAGCAAUGGGUGGAUAUCGUUGGAGCCUCUGUCGGCAGAGCACCCCCCAUCAUUGGAAUCCCUUUUGCUUGAAAGCUGUAGGACCCUGGCAUCCCUGCCGAAUGAACCACAAGCAUACAGGUCUCUCCGAUACCUUCGUAUUAAAGGCUGUGCUGCUCUAAAGAAGCUCCCUGGAUGCCUGCAGCAGCGACUGGGCAGCAUUUACUUCAAACAAAUAGCAGCACGUUAUGAAGUGACGGAAUUUAAUCCAUUUAAGCCAAAGACAUGGAAGGAAAUACCAAGAGUUGUCCGUGAGUGGAGGCAGCCUGCUGAAACCGAUGAUCCUGAAUCUCCCACUGACUUAGAGGGUAUGCUAGAAGCUAUUAUACCGAAGAUACUUUUGCAGACAGAGCUAGGCCGCUAG